rfam:Bacillus sp. MTM 116 46, whole genome shotgun sequence.
ACGAUGUUCCGCUGCAAGAAAUAGGUAAAUAGAUAUGCAAGAGCAUCUG